rnacentral:lncRNA from 1 species
GCCAUCCCUCACCAGGAGACUGAGGCCAUGCCUCUCCAGGCUGCUGACCCUCCAGUAUAGUGUCCAAGGAAGCCCUAUACUCAGACCAGCAACUCAGGGCUUCAGACUAUUCAAGAGUCAAGAGCUAGCUCUAAGCACUUACCUCUCCCCAGGCACUGAGUCUAAGACUCCACCUCCCCAGGCCUCCUGUCUUCCAUCAACAAGGACCAACAAGACCAGUUUCCAGAGCUCCUGGCCUCCAGCAAGAGUCAAGAGGAUACCCUCAAGAUGCCCUCCCAUCCCUGACAUUUGCAGUUUCCUCACAGCAACAGGUAAGGGAUUAAGAGGCCGAGAGAGAUAUCGUCUGCGAGGGUGAGGAUACUGGAGGUUGGCAGUGUCAGCAUCGCAAGAGUGCUCUACCAGAGGAGGAGGAGGAGGAGGAAGGAGCUGGGCAUAACUGGACCAUCUCGAUCCAGCCCGUGGGGAAUCCAGAGGGGUAAAGAAAUACCUGAAACAAUGAAGACAGGAACAAAACACCAAACAAAACAAAAACAGGAAAAAAAAAACACAAGAAAAAGAGAAAAGUAGUAAAUACAAAGAGAACCAAAGAGGAGAAAACACAUGCUAGAAAAAAAAAAAAAA